CAAUCUAUACGGUGAAACUGCGAAUGGCUCAUUAAAUCAGUUAUCGUUUAUUUGAUAGUACCUUACUACAUGGAUAACCGUGGUAAUUCUAGAGCUAAUACAUGCUAAAAACCCCGACUUCGGGAGGGGUGUAUUUAUUAGAUAAAAAACCAAUGCCCUUCGGGGCUCCUUGGUGAUUCAUAAUAACUCAACGAAUCGCAUGGCCUUGCGCCGGCGAUGGUUCAUUCAAAUUUCUGCCCUAUCAACUUUCGAUGGUAGGAUAGUGGCCUACCAUGGUAUCAACGGGUAACGGGGAAUUAGGGUUCGAUUCCGGAGAGGGAGCCUGAGAAACGGCUACCACAUCCAAGGAAGGCAGCAGGCGCGCAAAUUACCCAAUCCCGACACGGGGAGGUAGUGACAAUAAAUACUGAUACAGGGCUCUUUUGGGUCUUGUAAUCGGAAUGAGUACAAUUUAAAUCCCUUAACGAGGAACAAUUGGAGGGCAAGUCUGGUGCCAGCAGCCGCGGUAAUUCCAGCUCCAAUAGCGUAUAUUAAAGUUGUUGCAGUUAAAAAGCUCGUAGUUGAACCUUGGGCCUGGCUGGCCGGUCCGCCUCACCGCGUGUACUGGUCCGGCCGGGCCUUUCCUUCUGGGGAUCCGCAUGCCCUUCACUGGGCGUGCCGGGGAACCAGGACUUUUACUGUGAAAAAAUUAGAGUGUUCAAAGCAGGCCUUUGCUCGAAUACAUUAGCAUGGAAUAAUAGAAUAGG
rnacentral:rRNA from 1 species